GGGGUGUGCUCAGCAGGGGGCCUAAAGAGAGAGCUCCUCUGUUCACAACACACCCGACAGGAAUCUGGGCUCACUGUGACAAGGGGCCCCAAACUGGGGGCCUUCCUAUGAACACAUAUGCUACACGU
ensembl:snoRNA